rnacentral:rRNA from 1 species
UACGAAGGGGGCAAGCGUUGUUCGGAAUCAUUGGGCAUAAAGGGCGCGUAGGCGGAUUUGUAAGUCGAUUGUGAAAUCCCUGGGCUUAACCCGGGAAUUGCAGUCGAAACUGCAAGUCUUGAAUGCUCGAGAGGAUGGUGGAAUUCCUGGGGUAGUAGUGAAAUACGUAGAUAUCAGGAGGAACACCGGAGGCGAAGGCGGCCAUCUGGCGAGACAUUGACGCUGAGGCGCGAAAGCGUGGGGAGCAAACAGG